rnacentral:rRNA from 1 species
CAGCAGCCGCGGUAAUACGGAGGAUCCAAGCGUUAUCCGGAAUCAUUUGGUUUAAAGGGUCCGUAGGCGGUCUUGUAAGUCAGUGGUGAAAGCCCAUCGCUCAACGGUGGAACGGCCAUUGAUACUGCAGGACUUGAAUUAUUGGGAAGUAACUAGAAUAUGUAGUGUAGCGGUGAAAUGCUUAGAGAUUACAUGGAAUACCAAUUGCGAAGGCAGGUUACUACCAAUUGAUUGACGCUGAUGGACGAAAGCGUGGGUAGCGAACAGGAUUAGAUACCCGCGUAGUCCCUGUCUCUUAUAC